ACGCUGGCGGCGUGCCUAAUACAUGCAAGUCGAGCGAAUGGAUUGAGAGCUUGCUCUCAAGAAGUUAGCGGCGGACGGGUGAGUAACACGUGGGUAACCUGCCCAUAAGACUGGGAUAACUCCGGGAAACCGGGGCUAAUACCGGAUAACAUUUUGAACUGCAUGGUUCGAAAUUGAAAGGCGGCUUCGGCUGUCACUUAUGGAUGGACCCGCGUCGCAUUAGCUAGUUGGUGAGGUAACGGCUCACCAAGGCAACGAUGCGUAGCCGACCUGAGAGGGUGAUCGGCCACACUGGGACUGAGACACGGCCCAGACUCCUACGGGAGGCAGCAGUAGGGAAUCUUCCGCAAUGGACGAAAGUCUGACGGAGCAACGCCGCGUGAGUGAUGAAGGCUUUCGGGUCGUAAAACUCUGUUGUUAGGGAAGAACAAGUGCUAGUUGAAUAAGCUGGCACCUUGACGGUACCUAACCAGAAAGCCACGGCUAACUACGUGCCAGCAGCCGCGGUAAUACGUAGGUGGCAAGCGUUAUCCGGAAUUAUUGGGCGUAAAGCGCGCGCAGGUGGUUUCUUAAGUCUGAUGUGAAAGCCCACGGCUCAACCGUGGAGGGUCAUUGGAAACUGGGAGACUUGAGUGCAGAAGAGGAAAGUGGAAUUCCAUGUGUAGCGGUGAAAUGCGUAGAGAUAUGGAGGAACACCAGUGGCGAAGGCGACUUUCUGGUCUGUAACUGACACUGAGGCGCGAAAGCGUGGGGGAGCAAACAGGAUUAGAUACCCUGGUAGUUCCACGCCGUAAACGAUGAGUGCUAAGUGUUAGAGGGUUUCCGCCCUUUAGUGCUGAAGUUAACGCAUUAAGCACUCCGCCUGGGGAGUUCGG
rnacentral:rRNA from 1 species